rnacentral:rRNA from 1 species
GAUGAACGCUGGCGGCGUGCUUAACACAUGCAAGUCGAACGAAGCACUUUAUUUGAUUUCCUUCGGGACUGAUUAUUUUGUGACUGAGUGGCGGACGGGUGAGUAACGCGUGGGUAACCUGCCUUGUACAGGGGGAUAACAGUUGGAAACGGCUGCUAAUACCGCAUAAGCGCACGGCAUCGCAUGAUGCAGUGUGAAAAACUCCGGUGGUAUAAGAUGGACCCGCGUUGGAUUAGCUAGUUGGUGAGGUAACGGCCCACCAAGGCGACGAUCCAUAGCCGACGAGACAGGGAGGGCGGCAACAGGGGGACUGAGGCACGGACGAGACUCAGGCGGGAGGCAGCAGUGGGGAAUAUUGGAGAAUGGGUGAAAGCAUGAAAAGGCGACGACGGGGGAGCGAAGAAGUGUGUCGGGAGGGAAAGAGCUAGGAGAAGGGAAGAUAAUGACGGUACCGGAAUAAGAAGCACCGGCUAAAUACGUG